UUAAAGCAUCAGAUUAAUGAACAUUCCAGCUAAUAGUAGGCUAUAUAACCUGCUUAGAUGUCUCAAGUGCUGUGAGUUCUGCUAUUCCAGUGCCAGCCUACAUCACAACAGAGAAGCAGGAUGAUUUUAUUUCACAACAGAGAAGCAGCAGUGUGCGAAGAACAGAUCUGUACCGAGGGGAAGGUCUGGUGCGUGUGUUGAAGAAAUUCUCUUGUUCCGAUUUAGCUCCUCAAGCCCAGAAACUUCAGCAAGCUUGAAACCCGAAGCUUCUUUGCUGCUGCACCUGCCAUCGCGAACUGUGCAGGUUCCGCAACAGUUUCUUGGUGAGUUGCAGAACCGAUUUUCAAUCAUAAAAUCCUCUUUCCUUCGUGCUUUUGAGUCCAAAUCGUGGUCUUCUUCGAGAUAAGAUAAGGAAUAAUCGAGUUAUUAUAUUUAUGGAUUGUUAGAUAAGCAUUUGCAUUGGUAAGUUAUUCAAAAAUUGAAAGUGAGUUGGUGUUUAAAUUGAAAAGGGUGAGUGAGUUCAUGAACUGUAUUCUUUUGAUGUUUAAUGUGUAAAUUAUGGAUGUUUUAAAGUUCAUUGAUGAUGAAUUGUUUGUUGGACAUGAGACAGAACAAUGUAAGUUGAAAUUACAAAGUGAAAAUGGAAAGGAAUUGGUGACAGAAGCCAAAAUUGCUUCUCUCAAACGUGCCAGGCACCAACGUGCUGAAGUUGUUAGGCACACACGAGCUAGUCGUGCAGGUUCGUGUAGGGGAUGCUUUAUGAGUACCCAGAACCACCGGGAAAUGUCCCUGGCACGAUGCUUUUGAGCAGGUUGCUGCACAAGUGAGUGAGGGACUUUGUUGGACAUGUAUAGAUGCCAGAAGGGUCUGUGCGAGUGAUAGUGUGCAUAAACGUUACUCCUAUUGCUUAGAUUGAACAUAUAUUUGUAUUAGUUACUGCUUCACUUAAGAGAUUUUGUUAAAUUUUGAUACAGGUGAAAAAAUAAAACUUAAUAUCUGAAAAUAGUGUAGCAUAACUGAUUUAGCACACAAAAUCGUCAUUCGUGCUCAAGCCUCGGGAAUGGCUUGCACCUAGCGGCUUUAGCGGUAUAUAUUAGUUUAUACGCAGGUAAGCCUUGGUCAAGGCUUACACUAUAGUGGAAACAAUAUAUAUACUAAUCUUUUAGGAUUCUUUAAAACAAAAAAAACAAAAAGGCAAAAAUAGAAAACUAAAUUAAAAUGAUACUUUUAAAAAAUAAAAAGGAGGUUGAAAUUAAGGGGAGAAAACCCCUAACUACACAAAACCUCACUCUUUAAAUAGAAGAAAAAGAGGACAGCCGUGAGGAGGAGGCCGAUGGAGAA